GGGAGCAUGAGCCGGGGUGGGGGGUUGCAGAAGGAGAGAGAACCAGGCUCCCUGACUCAGGGCUCGAUCCUAGGACCCCAGGAUCACGACCUGAGCCAAAGGCAGGUGCUUAACUGACUGAGCCACCCAGGCGUCCAUCAUCACUUUUAAGGGAAUCACUGCAUGUAUGUAACGAGGCAGGAAGAAUGCCUGUGGCCAGAUGGCUCCAGUUUUCUUGCUUGUUCCUGCACCAUCUGUGAGCUCAGUGGGUCAGGGCCCUGGGCAAAGAGGCCAAGGACAUUACUGGUCACCUCUCCAGGCCUUGGUCUCUCAACUGUAAAACCAGGGGGGUGUAAAGAAAUAAUUCUGAAGGUCUCUCUCAGCUGUUGUGAUGUGACUUUUGAGCAGGUGAAUGAUUAUUUCUAUUCUCUGGUGAAGUUGUCCCGAUUUGCCUGCAGCAGCAACCUAGGGAUGAGUGCUGUGCUCUGGGCAGGGUGAGGGGCUGAAGGAAGAGAAGGAGUGGAGAGCUGACAGGGGCCAGGGCCUGUGGGGGGAGCCAGAGCCCCACUGGACAGGAGUGUUGACAUCCCAAGCCCAUGCCAGCAGCCGAAAACUCCUGGGCCCGCAUGUUCUCCUUCCCAAGGGACAGCCUACUUAGUGUGAAUGAUAUCUGUGGGAGCUUCACUCCGAGGUCUGAAGCAAACACAGCCCACUGGUUACCGGCCGAGGUGACAUCUUGAGACCACCCACCUAGCUGGGCUUUUGCGUUCUGGCUGCCCUGUCCGAGAUGGUAGCCACUGGCUACAUGUGUUUGUUUGUUUGUUUUUAAUUUACAUUUCAAUUCAGAUGAAAUAAAAUUAAGAAGUCAAUUCUUAAUUUUGAGUACCCGUGUACACAGGUAGCUUUGGCUUGUGGCUACCAUAUUGGAGGAUUCAAGUAAAGAACAUUUCCAUCAUCACAGAAAGUUCUAUUGAAUGUCUCUGGUCUAGAAUGCCACAGAGUGCUCAAACACCGAAGAAAUAUGAAAUGCAUCUCCUGACUUCCUCUUCUUAUAUUACCUUUCUUUCUUUGCUUGCAUUAGAAUGGCCUAGCAAUAUAUUCCUUAGAGGCUGAAAAAGAUGAGAUGUUUGAUAUCAAAGACCUGGGUUCACAUCCCAGCUCCCCCAUGUCAAGUUUACAAGAGUCACUUCAUCUGUUUCUGUGUCAGUAAAAUGAGGAUAAUAAACCACCUCCCCAGGUUGUGAAGAUCAGGUGGGAUAAUAAACAUAAAGUUAUUGAUAAGCCCUAUGCACUGUACAAAUUCUCUCUAAAUGAUGCACAAAGAGGAGAAGGAGGGGAGAUUGUCAUUAGAGUUCUGUCAAAAAAGGGGUGGGUUUUGGAAUAAUAUUGGUGGCUUUUCAGAGGGGGCUGUAAAGGUAAAAUCAGGACACUUUCCUUGAGGGGGAAAGCACCUACCUCCCACUCCCCACUCCUUAGGGGGUCUUGGUGCAAACAUAAUAGGCCUAGAAGAGGCAUGACCUUUUGAUUUUAUAAUGCAAGGUCGAGGGCCUUCUGAGCCCCGGAACUGUAAACACACACUGUGAACAUGAACUAGGAGUCUCUGGAGGUACUCAGAAGAUUAUCACAAGGCUCACCGUUUGUCUCUCAAGGAGAUGAAAGAUGAGAGAAGUUUUCCUUCUUCCUUCUUCCACCUUACUUCAUAAAUUCAUAUGAAAUUGUGUCCCAACUCCAAUCACUUUUGAGUCACCUUCCAUGUGAGUCUGUUGGUUUUUACCUAACAAUAAAUUGUGUUUGCUCUCUUCUGUAUGGGUAUGAAGGGGUCUUUUUGUUGGCAAGAUUGUUUUCUUUCCCCAGCAGGACCAGAGAAUACUUGGAUUUCCGAUGUGGAAUGGAGCUACCAAAGGGAAAGCACCCUUCUGGAGGAGAUGGGCUCAGAGGAAGGAAGGGCUGGGUUUCUGGCUGACUUUCACAUCUGGGAGGCUGCAUAUGAGACCCAGGCCAGAGGAGAGCAGCAGCUCUGGUAUCCCGAGGCCCAGCAAUGACACAGCCCAGGAAGGGAAAGGACCUCCUACAUGGUUCUUCAUGGUAUGUGGUGUCUCUUGUUGCAACAAGCGCCAAAGACCCCGACUUGGAUUGGCCGCAGGUGUGUUCUGGUGGUAUUGACUACAGCUGCUGACAGGCCCAAAGGGAAGACGGCCUGCGCUGAUCCGCUGCACGGGAGGGGCCCCCUGGAUACCUGCCACAUCCAAUGCAGAAGCGCUCCCCGAAACCAUCUGGCAAGGCAGAGCCACGUACACAGAGCAGCCCAGAAGAGGCGCACUGAGCCCAGCCUGGGAGUUUGGAGGAAUGAUGGAUGCACAAGUCUUGCAUGAUGGACAAGAACAAGCUGAUGAAAGGAGAGAAGGACGCUCUGGGCAGAGGGAACAGUGUGGAAAAGUAGAGACAAGAUCAAACCAUCCAGCCAUGUGGAUUCAAACAGAGGUAGUCCAAGAACUGGUCCAGUGGGCAGUCUCCUAGUUCCAAGUAACAACAGAAGACGGCUGGAAUAGUUUAAAUGUUUGCUGCUCAAAGAGUGGUA